GCACAGGUAGUCUAGUGGUUGGGCGGCGGACUGCAGUUCCGCUUCACAUGAGUUCGAAUCUCAUCCUGUGCUCCA
rnacentral:tRNA from 1 species